rnacentral:lncRNA from 1 species
AAAGGUUGAUGGAAAAGAAAAUGCUGCAGACCCAUUCACUAAAGCUCUUGGCGCAAAGGAGUUUGACAAGCACAAGUGGAAAUUGGGAAUGAAGUACAAGAGCGAUUGGCUCUAGUGCAAGUGGGAGAUUGUUAGGGAUAUAGUAGAUAUGCCCUAGAUCCAAUAUCACAUUUGAUGUUUUGAACAUAUUUUUAUAAAAUAUAUAUGGCAUUUGAUAUUCUUUUAUCAUUGUUAUUAAUUGCUUGAUUAAUUUGAUAAGGUCCUUGAUUAAAUUUUGAGACUUGACAUUAUGAUGGAGAUCAUGAUAAUGAGAGU